UGGGGAAUUUUGGACAAUGGGGGAAACCCUGAUCCAGCCAUCCCGCGUGUGCGAUGAAGGCCUUCGGGUUGUAAAGCACUUUUGGCAGGAAAGAAACGUCGCGGGUUAAUACCCCGCGAAACUGACGGUACCUGCAGAAUAAGCACCGGCUAACUACGUGCCAGCAGCCGCGGUAAUACGUAGGGUGCAAGCGUUAAUCGGAAUUACUGGGCGUAAAGCGUGCGCAGGCGGUUCGGAAAGAAAGAUGUGAAAUCCCAGAGCUUAACUUUGGAACUGCAUUUUUAACUACCGGGCUAGAGUGUGUCAGAGGGAGGUGGAAUUCCGCGUGUAGCAGUGAAAUGCGUAGAUAUGCGGAGGAACACCGAUGGCGAAGGCAGCCUCCUGGGAUAACACUGACGCUCAUGCACGAAAAGCGUGGGGAGCAAAGCAGGAUUAGAUACCCUGGUAGUCCACGCCCCUAAAACGAUGUCAACUAGCUGUUGGGGGCCCUUCGGGCCUUGGUAGCGCAGCUAACGCGUGAAGUUGACCGCCUGGGGGAGUACGGUCGCAAGAUUAAAAACUUAAA
rnacentral:rRNA from 1 species